AACGAACGCUGGCGGCAGGCUUAACACAUGCAAGUCGAACGCCCCGCAAGGGGAGUGGCAGACGGGUGAGUAACACGUGGGAACGUGCCCUAAGGUUCGGAACAACUCCGGGAAACUGGAGCUAAUACCGAAUGUGUCCGUAAGGAGAAAGAUUUAUCGCCUUAGGAUCGGCCCGCGUCAGAUUAGCUAGUUGGUGGGGUAAUGGCCUACCAAGGCGACGAUCUGUAGCUGGUCUGAGAGGACGACCAGCCACACUGGGACUGAGACACGGCCCAGACUCCUACGGGAGGCAGCAGUGGGGAAUCUUGGACAAUGGGCGCAAGCCUGAUCCAGCCAUGCCGCGUGGAUGAUGAAGGCCCUAGGGUUGUAAAAUCCUUUCGUUGGGGACGAUAAUGACGGUACCCAAAGAAGAAGCUCCGGCUAACUUCGUGCCAGCCGCCGCAGUAA
rnacentral:rRNA from 1 species